ACACUGCCGGGUCCUUCUUCCUCUUUGGGCCGUGAUAGAGCAGUUAGGACCACACGUGGCCUUCACUGCACACAACCAGCAACCAGGAUGCAGUCACACAGUUUGUGAGUGAGGAUCCCAAAAUGGCCUGGUGCAAUCUCACCUUCCAGUCUGGUGGAGCCGUUGGUGUCUCUGCGGGAAACUCUCCUCCCUCGAGAACUCAGACUUCUACACCAAGAGGACCUAGAGUUGUGGGGACAGGGAGCAAACACAUCACCAGCAGAAUGUCAUGAGGGUGAAGAGAAGCCAUUGCCACUUCCCCUUCUGGACUCCCAGAACCGUGAGGUCUGGGCGGCAGGAGAAACCGCUCCAUAGACUGACUCUAAUUCAGAGCCUGGACCGCCUCCUGGAGGACACGGCCCUCUCUGCAAAGCGUCCCCACUCAGCAGGCGCCGUGUGAGUCUCCCGAAGGCCAUUCCACGGUCCUGUUCGUGAGCUGCUUCGGGGAGAGGAGGACCACGGAAGACCUCCAAGGUCACAAGCAUUGGGCCUUUGCCCUACUCCAUUAACUGUGGUGAAUUCCUUGAGCAGCAGUGUGAGAAUGCCGAAUGAGGCGCUCCAGAGUCCACAGGUGGUUUCGGCAAAAGCACCGUGGGCAAGGAGGGCCAGUCCACCUGCAGAGCAAGCCUCUAUCCUGGUGAAAGCGCAGCGGUGCCAGUUCCAUGCCGGCAGCUGUCUCAUAUCAUCCACUCCACCUGGAGGCUGGCAGAUCCCCUGCAACACUGGGGCAGGCGGGCACUUAGUGGAUGGGCCUUGGUGAGUGGAGCCCCUGUGCCGAUCCCAUGUGUGACCUCCAUCCCUGCUACCACAGUCUCUAUCUUCACCAGCCUGCUGACAAUGACAGGGUGGCUGGGGAAGGAGCCUGACUGAUGCCCAAAGAAAGGGCCAUCUUGUCUACCUGGUCACUGAGCUUCUCCUCGGCUGAGGCGGUUGCCCUUUGGCAAAUGUCACAUGGGCUGCGAGGAUCUUCACGCUCUGCCCUUUCAGAGACCUCUAACCACACAACACUUCCCCACACCUCCUGCUACCGUUUUCCCAAAUGUGUUCCUUUCAAGUCCCUGACCAUCCAUCUGGCCAAGCCAGGAGCAACUGACCAUGAGUGGGUGGCACCUGUAGCUCCGAACUCUCCUUCCAGGAAAAAUGAAAACACCUAGGGGCCCUGCCCAGAGUAUGGACCACGGGUGUUGGAACCACUUUUUCAUGUAACUUGCUUGUGACUUCAGGGCCUGCCUGAGCCCCGGGUUGUAUAUUGCUGCUUCCACUUGAAGACAGAACACAGCUGUGCAUGCCCAACUCUGUGGCUCGCUGGGUCCAGCAACAUCCCACUCAUGACGUACAGUUCAGAUCACGUGGCGACUUAGUGGCCUGUCCAGUCUCUAUGGAGGCCUGGACGCAAUCCACAGAGUUAUCCAGAGAGGAUGGCAGAGCUUGACUCCAAAAUCCUAAGGGCCCUGGGCUGUGAUUCACCUGCAGGAGCCUAUCAUGGCCCCCACGCAGCAUCCUUACCUGCCACAGACACCUCAAAUGCCAUGGGAUCUGUUGGUCCCGUGGCUCAAGUGGCUCAGCAGCUUUCAUGACCACAUGCACUUGCUGCAGAGCCUUCUCUUGUUCUGGGACUCCCAGAAAGCAGACAGCAUUUUAGGUCAUUCCUACAUGGGUUUUCCUACCCAUGUCUUCCUACCUACCCGUGGGUCAUAUGGCCCAUGUUGCAAAACAUUUUGGAAAAGGCAAAACUAUGCAGACAAUGAAAUGAUCAGUGGUUUCCAG
rnacentral:lncRNA from 10 species